rnacentral:lncRNA from 1 species
ACUACUUGCUAUUCAAGAGGAGAGAAAGUCAUGUUCUUCAUCUGUCUGUAGGGAAUUCGCGCCAUUUGGAUUGUGUGCCAUUCAUGGGACCAAUCACUGGCCGAGCUCAGCAUCACAUACCUGUUUCUUUAAUGGGAAGGUGGGGUUCUGAUUUGAAUGGAAAAAGCAUGCCUCAGAGAAAAAGAGUUGAAGAAGGGGCCACCUGACCAGAGAAACGCAAAGCAAAGCAAAAACCCAGCAUUGUGUCAAUCAAACCUUGCAUUCUAGACAGUAGCAAGUAAUUCAAAUUUAAAUACUAUAAAAACUGAUAUAUAUUUUUUUCUGAAUUUUUGCAUGAAUUUUGUCUUCACAUUAAAGCUUAUUCACUGAAUUUCAUGUGAUUUAAUUUAAUGUCUGUGACAGCCUUUUCAGACAAACAAAUUAAAAUGCAGGAGAAAAAAUGUUUGUCAGACCACACAUCCUCAUUUGGAGCUCAGAAAAUGUAAUCCUCGUAGGUAAGGACAGCAGAGCCUACGGGCAGGUGUGCUGUCUGUCGUGUCUCACCUGCCCACCUCCAGUGCUCCAUUUCUUGGCGAGGAAGCCAGCCUGCUUGAGCACUCAUUGAAUAUAUAUUUAAUGGUGCGACAUUUAUGCGAUGCCAAGGAGACUUUGAAAUGACUAAAUUUAAAAUAGAUCUUUCUACCUCAACCAAGAGAGAGAAAGCAAAAGGAAAUGAAAGACACUCUGUGAGUUGAGAAGACACAUUGCAAAAGAGCUAAAACCAAAUAUGCCUGCAGGUUUCCAAAGCAGGCUUUUGUUAUUUUACUUUCUAUCUCUUUUUCUCUGUCUCUUUCUUCCUUUCUACCCCAGAUGUACCAGGCAAAUUAGUAAACAAUAAUAGUAAUGAUGAUUCUAAUGAUGAUAUUACUAAGGAUAACAACCCUUUAUGGAACACUCAUUACAUGUCAAACACUUUGCCAACCUUUUUAUAUCAAUGAUCUAAUUCAAUACUCACCACCAGGGAGUGAAUUUUAUUUGUAUAUUAUA